GGACGCCGGGGGUUAAAAUCCCCCUCAAUGCU
rnacentral:tRNA from 1 species